rnacentral:lncRNA from 7 species
GAACGGAAGACUAAAUCCAUUAUUAAUUUUCUACUGUUGGAUAAUAUGUUUUUUGCAGAUUGAUAUCAUGUCCAAGUUCUUCAAGCUGAUGGUGGUAGGUGUUUUGCUUUGCUACUUUCUCAUUGUUGAAGUUGUCUCCAUGUUGUAUUCACUAAAGAACCCCUAUAUUAUUUAUUUUGGAACAAACCUUUUUUGUUUUGUCCUAAAAUGAGAUCGAGCAAGAGCAUUUUUCCUGUGGGUUGAGUAAAUCUAGAUUUUUGCUUUGCAUGAUGAGACAAUCCAGAGAAUGUAUACCAAUUAUGAUGUGUGCCUUUUAUAUUUAUCUACAUUACCCAAUAUAGCAUAUUAUUCUUUGCUAUCUUAGUCUAUUAUUACUCAUGAUAUGGCAUAUUAUUCUUUUUG